UUGCAUCGAUGAAGAACGCAGCGAAAUGCGAUACGUAAUAUGAAUUGCAGAUAUUCGUGAAUCAUCGAAUCUUUGAACGCACAUUGCGCCCUUUGGUAUUCCAAAGGGCAUGCCUGUUUGAGCGUCAUUUCUCCCUCAAACCCCCGGGUUUGGUGUUGAGCAAUACGCUAGGUUUGUUUGAAAGAAUUUAACGUGGAAACUUAUUUUAAGCGACUUAGGUUUAUCCAAAAACGCUUAUUUUGCUAGUGGCCACCACAAUUUAUUUCAUAACUUUGACCUCAAAUCAGGUAGGACUACCCGCUGAACUUA
rnacentral:rRNA from 1 species